ensembl:lncRNA
AUAUUUUACAUAUUUCAUUUUUGAAAACAUCUUUUCACAUCGGUAGGUUCUGUCAAAUGCUGGUAGCAGUCCACAAGCAUGUGAUUUUACUUGAACAUAUUAAUUACUUAGGAGACAUUUUUAGAAUUAUAUUGGAUUCUUCUCUUGAUAUUUACCUUUUAGCAAGUGUCAUUAUAUUGCAGAUUAAUCACUCCCAACCUAAGGUUAAAUGGAAGCUCCUCAAUUGCACAGUUAAAUGGAUUUUGAAAUAUGGAAAUUUCUUUUGCACUUGCAUAAUGGUGAUUGAUGGUGAUUCUUUUCAUUCAGAAAAAUGUUGAUCGCAGCUCUGAGCUCAGAAAAUAGUAAUAAAACUUUUUUUCUUCUUCCUUUUCUUCUUAAUUCCUGCUCCCUUCCCUUGUCCUUUGCUCUGGAAUUGCCUGGCUCACUGUUGUUACCUUUCUGGCUCUUCCAAAUCCUAGGGUUUCAGGCAGCUCCUCCUUAAAAUGGUAUAUGUGUGGGUUGGUGGAAUUGGCUCCAUCCUUAAGAUAAUCACCAGGUUUCAAGGCACUGUCUCCUCUGGCUACUACCCCCUCUCCUCUCAGUCCUAUGUGCCAUACUCACCUUGCUCUUGGGGGACUGAGGAGAGGGAUGAAUCACAAUGAACCUGAACUUGCCCCUUCUGGCAACAGGAGAGGAGUCAGUCUGGAGGGCACAGGGCAAGGAAGAUGCUCCUUGCCAAAGUGAAGUCCCUGGGUUAGAGGGCCCUCCUCACAGGAUCUUCUCUGGGCCCCACCUUGAGGGCCCAGAGGGGGUCAGAACCAGAAGGGCUUUCCCAUGAUCGUCGCCAGAACUUCCCUGCUGUGCAAGUUACCAAUAAUGGAAAAAGAAGGCACCUGGGGCUGAUUCCAAAAUUCCAACCUGUGUCUUCUCGGUACCCUGACCCAAGGAAAUACAGUUUCUUCCCAAGAAGGCAGGAGCAGAAAACAUCCCAAGACCAGUGGGGCUUUUCUCCAGAUGGGGAUGUGUGCCUCUCCCCGAACAUCGAGCUGGGGUCCCUGACCCCAGCAGGGCAGGGCUCCAGGAGAAAUCUGGCUGUCCACUACUUUCCUGACUUCACACAGCAGGUCCAACAAAAGCAGGAGAAUCUGAAGCCCAAGGUCUUAUCAUUCUGGGGACAGGUCAACAAUUUCCAGGGUGGAAACCCAGCCCAUGAUUUCCCAAGGACAAAGACCUGGGCCACUAGUGAGAGAGAGGGUCCCCAGUGGAGCGUAGGCUGGGGAGCAAAGGACUCCCCGAGCCCAGUCCUGGGAGAGUUACUCCCCAACAGGCCUAACGUCUUGCGGGAACCAACAGAGAAGGCCAGCAGAAACCUUCUACAACAGUCGACCUCCGCGUUUCCCUCCUUAAGACCUAGCUCCUCAGUCUGCCGCUAUUACCCACCUUGCUGUUCUAUUUGCUCUGCUUCUCCAGAAGUCUGGCCAAAAAACAGGCAAACGGUGAAACUUAAACCAGCUCUUAUCAGCAGCUGCUCGGAUGACACAUCGGGGCCCCAGAAACGGUUCCACCCAUUUCGGGUGCGCUUUGCAGACGAAAGCCCCAAGGACAUGGCAUUGCGAUACUGGGAGAGGAACUAUGACGUUCAGAGGAGCCUCCUCAAGAGCCCAGUACCCUAUAAGUCUCCAGAAGUUAUUCCAGGGAAAUUGGGGAUUUGGAUGGAGAAAAUCCCAAGGAAUGGACUUCAGCAGACGAACCUGUGGCGAGAUGAAUUCAUUCGUCCUGGGAGAAUGGAUAACAUACCCAUGUCAUUGCAAGAACUGCCUACUGAUAACCUAAAGAAGAGUCCCACCUACAGCUCUCUGCACACCAGCCCAUUGGCCAUUCUUGACUUCUCUGGUACCAGGACAUUCCAGGACCAGGGCACAGAUCCCCUUAAGAAGAACCCCAUCUACAACUCUCUGCACACCAGCACCUCAAAUAAUAUUGAUUUUUCUGGCACCAGGCCGUUCCAGGAUCUCUGUAUCGAUCCUGCUAAACAUACCUCUUUGUACACCACCCCAGUAAUCAACACUGAUAGGCCACGAAGCCGGACCCUCAACACUGGAGUCUCCUCAUUGAAUGAGAACUCUCCUUCCUUGUGGGCUCCUAGAAUGGAUACUUUUGUACCUCACUUGAUGUCAUCUAAUCGGAAGGGAGGACAGACAGGACCUUACCAGUUUUUUCCUCCACUCACCCCACUUCGGACUCAAAGCACCAACCAAGGCAGCUCUGAGUCUCCCCGAUAGCCAGCUAGCCAGAAUGGCUCCUGAAGAACGAGACAAUAUGAAGAACAACGUGGCAAAUCCAGGGACACAGGGGUGGAGAGAAGAAAGGGACAAUUUCAGCAACUCCCUCUGCCCCCUUUCCCCUUACACUCUCUCUCUCCCCCCAAAUAAAAUUAACUAAAAACAGACACACAACCAACCAAUAGCUCAUAGGCUAUGAAGCCUUUCCAGAAACCAAGAGCCAAAUGUCUUCACUGAAGACAUAUUUCAACUCCAUGGAAGGCCUUCUCCCCUCUGACUUUGCUCAGGGUCAUAUGGUUUAAGAGUCCACUGAGGAAGAACUCUCCAACUCUCCAGCCUGUCGCCCUCCCUGAGCUAACAAGCCAGCCCUAACAUCAAUUAUAGCUCACAUACCUGUAAUAAUUUAGGGUUUACAAAGCACUUUCCCCACAAAUAAAAUAGUGGAAAGGGCAU